ACCGUUCAAACAGCAGUCGCUUUCUAAAACAUCAGAUAUGUAUCGGAUUCAGUACCACAUACGAAAGUGACCCAGAUCGGAUUUGAAAAUAUCGGAUUUGUGCCGUUCACACUGUCAUACCAAGAUCGGAUAUGAGUCGCAUAGGGUCCAAAAAAUCGGAUUUGAUGCGCUUUCGCCUGCAGUGUGAACGUAGCCUUAUAGAUCUGUAAGGGGCUGAGUAUGACGGUCUUUUGUGGCCGUGGUCCAGCAGGCCGUUCUUCACGGAUGAGCGGCGGUAGGGAUGUCGAUUAAUGGAUGACCUCAUGCUGUCUCCCCGGCGAAGAUGUUCGUCCUGAUCGCUGCCGUUUGCCAUCUUGGUGAGAGACCCGACCCGGUGUAUCAGACCUCCGUUAGAGACGCCGCCGUCACCCACAACACCGCCCUGACCUGCAAAAGGAGGUCUUCGUUCAGAGCCAAGCGCAUCUCUGGACCCAGAUCCUGCAGAGUCUUCAGACCAGCUUUACAGAGCUACACGGAAACACAAAUAAAUUCAUGAAGACAUACUCGCUGUAACAGCAUCAUACACAAAUACAGGUCCCAGUUUUUUUCCUAAAGGCAUCCUCGGGCUUUGGUUGGAAUCUAAUUCAGUUUUAAAAGCUCUUUCUCAAAAGCAUCACAACUGAUGACCGAAUUAAUGAGGGAAUUGUGUUUGCAAGUUAAACAGAUAUUCCAGAUGUGCUUUCAUGAUCUUUCUGAGGUGGUCCAAGGCAAGAGGAGCUAUAUAAUCUCUCGAGCGACCUCUGGGUCUUCUAAAGGGUUUCCACCAAGUUGGGUGUGUCUGGAAAACCUCCAAAGAUGUCCAAGAGGAAUUUUUACCUGAUGCUCUCACCACCUCAACUGGGUUCUUUCUGUUCAAAGGAGCAAUAAUUCUAUUGCAAGCUACCUUUGGAUGUCUUGGCUCCUCACCUCAUCUCUAAAGUUGACCUACCCACCCUACAGAGGAAACUCAUUUCAGCCACUUUUCUCUGCAGCCUUGUUUUUUCACUACUCAAACUCAUGAUGGUAGUUUAGUGCUCGCAUGCAGAUCAACUGGUAAACUGGAAGCUUUGCCCUCCAGUUCAGCACUCUCUUCAGCAGGAAACGAACAUCACAAAUCUUUGGGUUGAUCUCAUGCUUUACCUUCGCUUUACUCACAAACAAGACCUUUGGCUUCUUCAGUUGUUAAAAGGAACAAAACCAUGUUGGGUUACUGCUGCCUGUCUUAAUAUUGCCCCAUACUGUUGGUCUGCAUCUUGCCACUUUGCAGCCAUGCCUUCUGUCAGU